CCUACGGGAGGCAGCAGUGGGGAAUAUUGGACAAUGGGCGCAAGCCUGAUCCAGCAAUGCCGCGUGUGUGAAGAAGGCCUUCGGGUUGUAAAGCACUUUAGGCAGGGAAGAAAAAAUCGGCGAUAACAUCGCCGAUCUUGACGGUACCUGAGGAAUAAGCACCGGCUAACUCUGUGCCAGCAGCCGCGGUAAUACAGAGGGUGCAAGCGUUAAUCGGAUUUACUGGGCGUAAAGCGUGUGUAGGUGGUUAGAAAAGUCGAUUGUGAAAUCCCUGGGCUCAACCCGGGAACUGCUUUCGAGACUGUUUGACUAGAAUUCGGUAGAGGGAGGCGGAACUCCAGGUGUAGCGGUGAAAUGCGUAGAUAUCUGGAAGAACACCAAUGGCGAAGGCAACCUCCUGGGCCUGAAUUGACACUGAGACACGAAAGCGUGGGGAUCAAACAGGAUUAGAUACCCUGGUAGUCCACGCCGUAAACGAUGAGAACUUGACGUCGGUUUGCUCUGCGAAUCGGUGUCGUAGCUAACGCGAUAAGUUCUCCGCCUGGGGAGUACGGCCGCAAGGUUGAAACUCAAAUGAAUUGACGG
rnacentral:rRNA from 1 species